AACGAACUCUUCGGAGUUAGUGGCGCACGGGUGCGUAACGCGUGGGAAUCUGCCCUUGGGUACGGAAUAACUCAGAGAAAUUUGUGCUAAUACCGUAUAAUGUCUUCGGACCAAAGAUUUAUCGCCCAAGGAUGAGCCCGCGUAAGAUUAGCUAGUUGGUGAGGUAAAAGCUCACCAAGGCGACGAUCUUUAGCUGGUCUGAGAGGAUGAUCAGCCACACUGGGACUGAGACACGGCCCAGACUCCUACGGGAGGCAGCAGUGGGGAAUAUUGGACAAUGGGCGAAAGCCUGAUCCAGCAAUGCCGCGUGAGUGAUGAAGGCCCUAGGGUUGUAAAGCUCUUUUACCCGGGAUGAUAAUGACAGUACCGGGAGAAUAAGCUCCGGCUAACUCCGUGCCAGCAGCCGCGGUAAUACGGAGGGAGCUAGCGUUGUUCGGAAUUACUGGGCGUAAAGCGCGCGUAGGCGGUUUUUUAAGUCAGAGGUGAAAGCCCAGUGCUCAACACUGGAACUGCCUUUGAAACUGGAAAACUUGAAUCUUGGAGAGGUCAGUGGAAUUCCGAGUGUAGAGGUGAAAUUCGUAGAUAUUCGGAAGAACACCAGUGGCGAAGGCGACUGACUGGACAAGUAUUGACGCUGAGGUGCGAAA
rnacentral:rRNA from 1 species